GGUUUUUUGUCAUUUAUGUAAAUUUUGUUUUCAAAUGUUGUGACAUGUAUUGUUUGUUGGUUUUUAUCAUAGAAAUUGCAAAGUAUUUGCAGUAAAGGGAUGGUUUAGAUUGUGGAUAUAAAUGGUUGGAAUUGCAGCUUUGUGCAUCAAGGUUCGGUUUGACUGCAGCUAUUGUGGGUUAAUCCUUUAUCUGUGUUUGGUACUUUGUGUAGUCAAAUUUAAGUUAUUUAUGUAUUUGUUUUAGUUUGGUUUGAAGACGUGUUUGAAUCAAUUUUCUUUGUAACGUUUUGUGGUGUUGUUUGUUAUCUUUUGUUUCAUCAUUCAAAGAGCGAGUAAGCCUUUCAGAGCUGAAGUUCCUCUUAAAGUAUGUGAAUGAUACUGUAAUUUCUGACUGUUGUUAGCAUCGGGUUUGUGUUGCUUCUAAUAAUUGUUGUUUUGUUUAUGUUUUCUAGAUUCUAUGCAAAAAAGUGUUUAAUAAUAUCAUAGAGCUCUAGCUUUAUUAAAUCGUCAGUAAACUUAUCUUGCAGGAAAGACAGAGAGUUCAAGGUCUGCAUCAAGUUGGCGAACAAACCUGGCCUGUAUCAACCAAUUUAAUUUGUAGACGCCUUACUGUGUAAUUGGUAGGUUGUUCUUAAACCCUGAUUUGGUCCCCAAGAUGACCUUGGAUAUGGCUUGGAAUACUGGAGAGGCUUUUACCAAAGCCUAAGGCCAACCCAAUUUGAUUUCUCAGCAAGGGCUUUUUAUGAGCCGAUUCUGGUGAGAGAGUUUCUUGAGAAACAUUUUGGGUACAGAGAUUUGCUCAAGCCUCUGUUGGAUCGUGAUUGUCUUAAGGGAAAGCCAUGGCCUUUUGCUGAGUGGAAGUUUUGUAGCAUUUUCUUUAUUUUGUGGCACAUCAAUUUAUGCAGAACUGGCUAGGCCAA